ACGCUGGCGGCGUGCCUAACACAUGCAAGUCGAGCGGCAGCGCGAGUAGUUUACUACUUGGCGGCGAGCGGCGGACGGCUGAGUAACGCGUGGGAAUUUGCCCCAAAGUGAGGAAUAACUGCCCGAAAGGGUGGCUAAUGCCGCAUAUGAUCUUCGGAUUAAAGGAUUUAUCCGCUUUGGGAGAAGCCCGCGUCGGAUUAGGUAGUUGGUGAGGUAAUGGCUCACCAAGCCGACGAUCCGUAGCUGGUCUGAAAGGAUGACCAGCCAGACUGGAACUGAGACACGGUCCAGACUCCUACGGGAGGCAGCAGUGAGGAAUCUUCCACAAUGGGCGAAAGCCUGAUGGAGCAACGCCGCGUGCAGGAUGAAGGCCUUCGGGUUGUAAACUGCUUUUAUAAGUGAGGAAUAUGACGGUAGCUUAUGAAUAAGGAUCGGCUAACUACGUGCCAGCAGCCGCGGUCAUACGUAGGAUCCGAGCGUUAUCCGGAGUGACUGGGCGUAAAGAGUUGCGUAGGCGGUUUGUUAAGUGAAUAGUGAAAUCUGGUGGCUCAACCAUACAGGCUAUUAUUCAAACUGGCAAACUCGAGAGUGGUAGAGGUCACUGGAAUUUCUUGUGUAGGAGUGAAAUCCGUAGAUAUAAGAAGGAACACCGAUGACGUAGGCAGGUGACUGGACCAUUUCUGACGCUAAGGCACGAAAGCGUGGGGAGCGAACCGGAUUAGAUACCCGGGUAGUCCACGCCGUAAACGAUGGAUACUGGCUGUUGGAGGUAUCGACCCCUUCAGUAGCGAAGCUAACGCGUUAAGUAUCCCGCCUGUGGAGUACGGUCGCAAGACUAAAACAUAAAGGAAUUGACGGGGACCCGCACAAGCGGUGGAUCGUGUUCUUUAAUUCGAUGCUAAACGAAGAACCUUAC
rnacentral:rRNA from 1 species